rnacentral:lncRNA from 1 species
CUACCAGGCUGUGUUAAGUCCAGAACCAAGAUGACAGAGUAGAAGCAGGGAUGCUGAAAACCACCAUGAGAAUACUCUCCAGCCAAUCUUAAAAUAAUUCCACAAAGUGAAUAUAGGAGUUAAAGAACCAACAAGGAAUGGAGUGAAGCAACUUUCAAGAAGAAAAGAAAUAUUCUUAGGAUUUCAGACCUAGGGUCAGAUCCCUUCAAGUAUACAAUAGUGUAAACUACUCUGCAUAUACUUAUAAACAUCACUAUCACCACCCUUUGGACGAUGGUGAGCACAUUCCAGGACAGAGCU